rnacentral:rRNA from 1 species
CACGUGAGAAAUUUUCCCUGAAGUCGAACAUAGCUUCGUGAAAACGGAGGUAAUAUUCGAUGUGGCCUUUGAAUCACAUGAUUUAAGGGUUAAAGGUGGGGACCUUCGGGCCUACCGCUUUUGGAUGGUCUCGCGGCCUAUCAGCUUGUUGGUGAGGUAACGGCUCACCAAGGCGUAUGACGGGUAGCUGGUCUGAGAGGAUGGUCAGCCACACUGGGACUGAGACACUGCCCAGACUCCUACGGGAGCUGCAGUCGAGAAUCUUUAGCAAUGGACGAAAGUCUGACUAUGCGACGCCGCGUGAAGGAUGAAGGUUUUCGGAUCGUAAACUUCUUUU